rnacentral:rRNA from 1 species
UCCCCCUGUUUUUUCAAAAACAUCGCCUCUUGAUUAAACAUAAGAGGUCCAGCCUGCCCAGUGACAUAGUUUAACGGCCGCGGUACCCUAACCGUGCGAAGGUAGCAUAAUCACUUGUUCUUUAAAUAGGGACUCGUAUCAACGGCAUCACGAGGGCUAUACUGUCUCCUUUCUCCAAUCAAUGAAACUGAUCUCCCCGUGAAGAAGCGGGGAUUAACCUAUAAGACGAGAAGACCCCAUGGAGCUUCAAACUCAACAUAUACCUCUACGCACUUAAACCACUUUAGCCCAAGAGACCUCUAUGUUAGUUUUGGGUUGGGGGGACCGCGGAGUAAAAAUUAACCUCCACGACAAACGGGCUUUAUGCCCUUAUCCACGAACCACAGCUCUAAGAAUCAAUAAACUGAUGUUUAUGACCCGAUUAUUCGAUCAACGAACCAAGUUACCCUGGGGAUAACAGCGCAAUCUACUUCAAGAGCCCCUAUCGACAAGUAGGUUUACGACCUCGAUGUUGGAUCAGGGUAUCCUAGUGGUGCAGCCGCUACUAAUGGUUCGUUUGUUCAACGAUUAAAACCCUACGUGAUCUGAGUCCAAAACCGGA